rnacentral:rRNA from 1 species
UACAGAGGCCUCAAGCGUUAUCCGGAAUUACUGGGCGUAAAGGGUGUGUAGGUGGUUUAGUUAGUCUUCUGUUAAAUUCUUCGGCUUAACCGGGGACCUGCGGAGGAAACGGCUAGACUAGAGGGUGCAAGAGGUGCAUGGAACUCAUGGAGUAGGGGUGAAAUCCGUUGAUAUCAUGAGGAACACCAAAAGCGAAGGCAGUGCACUAGUGCAUUCCUGACACUCAAACACGAAAGCGUGGGUAGCGAAUGGG